GCCAAUAUGGCAUAGUGGUUUGAGUAUUGAACUGAGAUUCUAGAGACCAGGGUUCGAUUCCCUGCUUAGCUA